rnacentral:rRNA from 1 species
CCUACGGGUGGCAGCAGUGAGGAAUAUUGGUCAAUGGUCGGGAGACUGAACCAGCCAAGCCGCGUGAGGGAGGAAGGUACAGAGUAUCGUAAACCUCUUUUGUCAGGGAACAAAGGCGGGGACGUGUCCCCGGAUGAGUGUACCUGAAGAAAAAGCAUCGGCUAACUCCGUGCCAGCAGCCGCGUUAAUACGGAGGAUGGGAGCGUUAACGGGAUUUAUUGGGUUAAAAGGGUGCGCAGGCGGUCUGUUAAGUAAGCGGUAAAAGCCAGGGGCGCAACCCCGGCCCGCCGUUGAAACUGGCAGUCUCGAGUUGGAGAGAAGUAUGCGGAAUGCGCGGUGUAGCGGUGAAAUGCAUAGAUAUCGCGCAGAACUCCGAUUGCGAAGGCAGCAUGCCGGCUCCACACUGACGCUGAGGCACGAAAGCGUGGGUAUCGAACAGGAUUAGAUACCCGGGUAGUC